UUACAUUGUUGGUGAAUUUUACAUUGCGC
rnacentral:piRNA from 1 species